rfam:tobacco mosaic virus(cowpea strain) 30k &amp; coat protein genes.
AUAACCGCGAAGUCGCGGCGCCGUCAAGACACGACGGUGAGUGGGGAGCAUUACCCCCCCAAAACCCUGGGGAUACAGGGCCCA